AGAGUUUGAUCCUGGCUCAGAACGAACGUUGGCGGCGUGGAUUAGGCAUGCAAGUCGUACGAGAAAGUUCCCUUCGGGGAGCGAGUACAGUGGCGAACGGGUGAGUAACGGGUGGGAAACCUGCCUUUCUGUGGGGGAUAACAUUCCUAACGGGGUGCUAAUACCGCAUGGUUCGGCGCAUCGCAUGGUGUGCUGUGAUAAAGAUGGCCUCUACAUGUAAGCUGUCGCAGAAAGAUGGUCCCGCCUCCCAUUAGCUUGUUGGUAGGGUAACGGCCUACCAAGGCUCUGAUGGGUAGCCGGCCUGAGAGGGUGUCCGGCCACACUGGGACUGAGAUACGGCCCAGACUCCUACGGGAGGCAGCAGUCGAGAAGCUUCGGCAAUGGGCGAAAGCCUGACCGAGCGACGCCGCGUGAGGGAUGACGGCCCUAGUGGUUGUAAACCUCUGUCAGGGGGGAAUAACGCAUGAUAGUUAAUAGCUUUCGUGUUUGAAGGUACCUCCAAAGGAAGCUCCGGCUAACUCCGUGCCAGCAGCCGCGGUAAUACGGAGGGAGCAAACGUUGUUCGGAUUUACUGGGUGUAAAGGGUGCGUAGGCGGCCCUGUGUGUCAGAGGUGAAAUCCCACGGCUCAACCGUGGAAUUGCCUUUGAAACUGCAGGGCUUGAGUCCGAGAGGGGAAGGUGGAAUUCCUGGUGUAACGGUGAAAUGUGCAGAUAUCAGGAAGAACACCAGUGGCGAAGGCGGCCUUCUGGCUCGGAACUGACGCUGAGGCACGAAAGCUAGGGUAUCGAACGGGAUUAGAUACCCCGGUAGUCCUAGCCGUAAACGAUGUCCACUAGGUGUUGGGGGUCCUACCCCCUCAGUGCCGCCCGCUAACGCAUUAAGUGGACCACCUGGGGAGUACGAUCGCAAGGUUGAAACUCAAAGGAAUUGACGGGGGCCCGCACAAGCGGUGGAGCAUGUGGUUUAAUUCGAUGCAACGCGAAGAACCUUACCUGGACUUGACAUGCAGGUGUCAGCCGUGGAAACACGGUCUCUCUUCGGAGCACCUGUGCAGGUGCUGCAUGGCUGUCGUCAGCUCGUGUCGUGAAAUGUUGGGUUAAGUCCCGCAACGAGCGCAACCCUUGUCCUUAGUUGCCAUCAGGUUAUGCUGGGAACUCUAGGGAGACUGCCGGUGACAAACCGGAGGAAGGUGGGGACGACGUCAAGUCAUCAUGGCCCUUACGCCCAGGGCUACACACGUGCUACAAUGGUCGGUACAAAGGGCAGCAAUACAGCGAUGUGGAGCGAAUCCCAGAAAGCCAGUCUCAGUUCGGAUUGUAGUCUGCAACUCGACUACAUGAAGUCGGAAUCGCUAGUAAUCGCGUAUCAGAACGACGCGGUGAAUACGUUCCCGGGCCUUGUACACACCGCCCGUCAAGUCAACCGAGUUGGUUGCACCCCAAGUCGCUGAGCUAACCCCUUCGGGGGAGGCAAGUGCCCAAGGUGUGAUUGGCGAGGGGCGGACCUAAGUCGUAACAAGGUAACC
rnacentral:rRNA from 1 species